CUUAACUUCUGAGUCAGAAACCGACUUCCGCGUCGUAGGAGGAUGUUAUUGUUAGCUUCAGCGGUGGAUGAGAAAAUGCAGUAGUCCCACACACAUUUGGAUGUCAUAAAGUAAUGGGCUGAGAUCCACCCACAUCAAAAAUGGCGAGAGACAGAAAGUGCAUCCUCUGUGAAACAGUCCACUCCUCCAAGCAGGAGAUGGAUGAGCACAUGAGAAGUAUGCUGCACCACCGUGAGCUGGAGAAGCUCAAAGGCCGG